rnacentral:rRNA from 1 species
GCCCAUUAGCAAGCCCACCAUCCAAAACAAACAUACCCCCAUACAUACCCCCAAAUACACUUAUUUACCCAAAACAAACCAUUUUUCCCCCUUAAUAAACGCGAUCUAAAAGGACUUAAGGAGCGACAGAGAAAGUA